ensembl:lncRNA
AUGUAUGGUAAUGAAGAUGACAAACUGUUUUGUUUAACUGUAGCAAUUGAUUUAUUAAAAGAAAAAUGUCAUGGCAUGAAUUUGUAUUUUUUUACAAAAUGACAUAAAUUUGAGUAAUUGGAGUUUUCUAGAACAAUUUGUUUUGCAAAAUAAAUUAAAUUUUGAAUUUUAUAUGUUUAUUAAUAAUAUUUUAAAAAUAAAUAGCUCUAAAGAUAUUAAAGAAAAAAUGAAAAAAAAAUAUGAACAAGAAAUAUAUCAAAUAAAAGAAAUAACAGGAUGUAAUAAUAAUAAUUUAAUUUUUAAAAAUUUACGAAAAAAAUAAUUUUGAUGUAUCUAAUACUGUGGAAACAAUUUUAAAUAUGAAUAACAAUAAACUUCAUAGUAGUAUAGAAGAUAAAAAAAAUACGCUCAUUUUUUCUUCACAUAGUUUGGCUAGUAGUUCCAGUGGUAGUGAUGUUAUUGGUAGUGAUAGUAGUGUUAGUGUUAGUGUUAGUGGUAGUGUUAGUGGUAGUGGUGUUGAUAAUCCGGAUUCUGCUUUUUCAAAAAAUAACUUAUCAUCAUCUUCAUUAUCAUUUGUAACAGAAAUAGGAGGAACAAAAAAAAAUAUUUUAGAAAUAUUAAGAGAACGAGAGAGAAAAAGUAAAGCUCAAAAAAAAAGAAAAAAUAAAUAUGAGUAUACUACUAAUCGUUUAUUGGAUGAUGAAAACAAAAAUAAAAUUUUGAAUCAACUUAAUUGUUCAAGUGACUCAGAAGAAUCAUUAUUAGAUAUAUCAAUAAAUAUAAAUCAAAACAAUAUUAUUACCCCAACUUCAUAUAGACAAAACUAUAACUAUGGGGAUAAAUCUAGUAGUUCUCAAAAUGAAAAUAAACAAACUGAUACAUACAAAGGAAAACAAAAUAAACAGAAUUAUAGAUAUAACAGAGAAACAAGUUAUUAUAAACCUAACGUUUCUGCACAACAACAAAACAUUAUUACAAGAAAUGACAAUGGAAAUGCUCGAUCAAAUUAUACUCAUAAAGGUAUACGAAAUUAUAGUAAUACUGGAACACAACAAUACAGUCGUACUGAUAAAAAUAAUUACAGUCGUACUGAUCAAUCAAAUUAUAAGUCAAGAGUAAGGGAAAUGCCCAAAGCAGAAGGGAAGGAGAUACUACGAACAAAAACACUCAUUCGACGAAAGGUAUAAUAAACACACAAAAAAAAAGUACAUAUAUAUGUGCAUAUUUUUAUGCAUAAAUUUACGUACAAAUUCAAUAUACAUACAUAUACACAUAUAUAUAUACACUUUUUUUAAUUUAGAAAAAACGAAAAGAAGUUAUAAGAAAAAAAACAGUGAACAAAGGAAAAUACAAUCAAAAACAGUAAUGACAAAAAAAAAAAAAAAAAAAAAAAAUAUAUAUUAUAUUAUAAUAUAAUGUAAUAUAAUAUAAUAUAAUAAUGUUUUAUUUUUAUCUGUCUCUAUUCCCUCAUUCAGCAUUUGUACAUAUUAUAUGGAUGUAUACAUAUAUAUAUAUAUAUAUACACCUACAUGUACGUGUAUAUAUGUGUGAGUUAAUUAUACCCAUGUUAUUGUCCUUUUCUUUUCAUAGGUAUGAUAAAAAAAUGGGUAGAGGUAUGUUUUAAAAUAAUAAUAAUAAUAAUAAUAAUAAUAAUUAAAAAAAAAAUGUCUGUAAAUAUCUAGUCAAUUUUUUAUUAAUUUGUUUAUAAAAAAUUGAGAAAACUAUUCACAGAUUUUAAUUUUGCAUUAUAUGUUAUUCCCUUUUAUUUUAAAAAAUAAAAAUAUAUGGGUCUAAACUAAUAAUGCUUAU